UAAGGAGGGUCGCAUAUUAUAGCAUCUACUACAACACC
rnacentral:sRNA from 1 species